rfam:Oryza sativa (indica cultivar-group) chromosome 3, whole genome shotgun sequence.
AAAAAGACAAACCCUGGUUUCCGUGCCCAAUGUUUGACCGUCCGUCUUAUUUAAAAAAAAUUAUGAAAAAAAUUAAAAAGACAAGUCACGCAUAAAAUAUUAAUCAUGUUUUAUCAUCUAACAAAAAUAAAAAUACGAAUUAUAAAAAAAAUUCAUAUAAGACGGACAGUCAAAGUUGGACACGGAAACCCAGGGUUUGCCUUUUU